rnacentral:rRNA from 1 species
AGAGUUUGAUCAUGGCUCAGAGUGAACGCUGGCGGCAGGCCUAACACAUGCAAGUCGAACGGCAGCACGAGAGAGCUUGCUCUCUUGGUGGCGAGUGGCGGACGGGUGAGUAAUACAUCGGAAUCUACCCUGUCGUGGGGGAUAACGUAGGGAAACUUACGCUAAUACCGCAUACGACCUACGGGUGAAAGCAGGGGAUCUUCGGACCUUGCGCGAUUGGAUGAGCCGAUGUCGGAUUAGCUAGUUGGCGGGGUAAAGGCCCACCAAGGCGACGAUCCGUAGCUGGUCUGAGAGGAUGAUCAGCCACACUGGAACUGAGACACGGUCCAGACUCCUACGGGAGGCAGCAGUGGGGAAUAUUGGACAAUGGGCGCAAGCCUGAUCCAGCCAUGCCGCGUGGGUGAAGAAGGCCUUCGGGUUGUAAAGCCCUUUUGUUGGGAAAGAAAAGCAUUCGGUUAAUACCCGAGUGUUCUGACGGUACCCAAAGAAUAAGCACCGGCUAACUUCGUGCCAGCAGCCGCGGUAAUAC